rnacentral:rRNA from 1 species
AGUGAACGCUGGCGGUAGGCCUAACACAUGCAAGUCGAACGGCAGCACAGUAAGAGCUUGCUCUUACGGGUGGCGGGUGGCGGACGGGUGAGGAAUACAUCGGAAUCUACUUUUUCGUGGUGGCUAACGUAGGGAAACUUACGCUAAUACCGCAUACGACCUACGGGUGAAAGCAGGGGAUCUUCGGACCUUGCGCGAUUGAAUGAGCCGAUGUCGGAUUAGCUAGUUGGCGGGGUAAAGGCCCACCAAGGCGACGAUCCGUAGCUGGUCUGAGAGGAUGAUCAGCCACAAUGGAACUGAGACACGGUCCAGACUCCUACGGGAGGCAGCAGUAGGGAAUAUUGGACAAUGGGCGGAAGCCUGAUCCAGCCAUACCGCGUGGGUGAAGAAGGCCUUCGGGUUGUAAAGCCCUUUUGUUGGGAAAGAAAAGCAGCAGGUUAAUACCCCGCUGUUCUGACGGUACCCAAAGAAUAAGCACCGGCUAACUUCGUG